UACGUAGGUGGCAAGCGUUGUUCGGAAUUACUGGGCGUAAAGGGCGCGUAGGCGGCCUUCUAAGUCAGACGUGAAAUCCCCAGGCUUAACUUGGGAACUGCGUCUGAUACUGGGAGGCUUGAAUGCGGGAGAGGGAUGUGGAAUUCCAGGUGUAGCGGUGAAAUGCGUAGAUAUCUGGAGGAACACCGGUGGCGAAGGCGGUGGUCUGGGCCGGCACUGACGCUGAGGAGCGAAAGCGUGGGUAGCAAACAGG
rnacentral:rRNA from 1 species